rnacentral:rRNA from 1 species
AUAUUGCGCAAUGGAGGAAACUCUGACGCAGCUACGCCGCGUGAGCGAUGAAGGUCUNNNGAUCGNAAAGCUCUGUCCUUGGGNAAANAGAUCGAAAGAUUUUACGGUACCCGACGAGGAAGCCCCGGCUAACUACGGUCCAGCAGCCGCGGUAAUACGUAGGGGGCAAGCGUUGUCCGGAAUUAUUGGGCGUAAAGGGUGCGUAGGCGGCUUUUUAAGUCAGAUGUGAAAGACCACGGCUUAACCGUGGGGUUGCAUUUGAAACUGGAAGGCUUGAGUAUCGGAGAGGGUAGUGGAAUUCCCAGUGUAGCGGUGAAAUGCGUAGAUAUUGGGAGGAACACCAGUGGCGAAGGCGACUACCUGGACGAAAACUGACGCUGAUGCACGAAAGCUAGGGGAGCAAAC